GCACCCGCUGCCUGUCCUCACUUCCCGGCUGUACAGUAGGGCUGAUGACAGGAUCUCUGCAAAAUGAAGGUGGACAUGAGAUGGUUCAAAGUGAUGCAUCUAAGAUUUGAACGACAUCGAAUACUUUGCCGGUCUCAGCAAAGUCACGAGACGUGAAGCACCUGAUUACACUGAAGGAGCAGGUGUGCUUUCGUUGGUUGAAAUGACCACUCAGUGACGUCCAGAGCAGAUGGUCUUCAGAUGCUUGGAUCUGGUUCACAAUCCCGGACCAGUUACAGGAGCGAGAAUGUGGCAGUGCAAAAAGCCGACUGAAGGAACAAGCAUGUGGCAGGACAAAAAGGGCCAAGUGAAGAUUUGUGAAACUGUGCUGUCGGAGGAUCUUCACAGCCAUGUGUGUUGAUCAUGUGGGAUUGUGACAGUCAUGAGGACAAGAUGUCACACAAACAUGGUUAUGACUGUUGAUGUUGGAGAAUGGCAAUAAACGGCAAAAAACAGCUGAGGAGAGACCUGCAUCUGACUGAGCACGCUGUGGAGCCGUUUGGUCCAGAGGAUGAAGCCUUGUACGAACAUCUCACUCUGACGUGGGCAUGAGCCUCCCGGUUGAAGCUUUCAUAAAUGAGACAAACUUUAAAGACCAUAACUGAUACAUUUUAGGGCCAUCUGUCAAAAAAACUUAACUAAUCCAUGAAAUGUUUAAUAAAAAAAUAUAUAUGCACAUCUAUUACAUGAUGUGCAGUAUUUUUGAAAAGGGCUUACCAAAAUGAAAAUGGCUUACUAUGUGUAAGUAUUUAGUAUAGAUUGACUCAUAAUUUAAAACAUUUAAAGGAAAAAUGCCCCAAAUAAAUUAAAUUUCUCAGAUGCUUUAAUGGAUGGUGACCUGAGCUUUUUGACAAACACACCAGCUGUCUCUGGCCCAAGUGUUAAGAGGUCAGUGGAAGCCCGGCAGUCUGCCUCCUGAAGUCUGCAGGUCAAAAUUAGUUUUUGGCAAGAUAUUAAACCCCAAAUGACUGCGUGUGAAUGAUUAACUGAGUAGCCGGUUGUAUGGUAGCCUCUGAGACUAGAAAGGUCCUUUUCAAAUGUAAGUCAAUGUAUCAUUACUAUCAGGAACAUGGAAAUUGUUUUCAAAAUUGUCAAUAAAAAUUUUAAAAAUA